rnacentral:lncRNA from 10 species
ACAGGCUGUCCAGUGAAAAGAAGAAAAGAAAUCCUAGCUAAAGAUUCAUUUGAACUUCUGAAUAGGAUUGUCUGAAGGAUGUAAAAUAUUUUACAAGGAAUUCCAGAAAGAUGAAUAACUCACACCAUGCCAAAAAUGUUACCUGACAUGAAAAAAUAUUAGAGGCCUUUCCAUUACUUCUGUGACCUUUGAAUGGAGAUGAAAGAUGGUUUGGACCCAUGCUAUCACAACCUGGUGCUGGACAUAGUAUCUGAUAGGCUGUAAUUCCAUCCCAUUUGAAGACGGGUGGGGAAUAUGUGUGACUGUUUAUCAUACAUCCAUUCAACCUCUUCAGACCAUGACAAUAUUUAGGAAAAAGAACACAGGUGAACCCCGAGGAGAUGAAUACACCUUUUUACAACAUGCUUAAUGUCUUCUAAAUAUUGCUUAGAAUAUUUAGAAUAUUGCUUUUCUUCAUCCCAUUUCUUCCACCAUUUUCCCAGUUUGGGCUAUCACAAUAGUCCCCUAGAUCAGGAUGAUAACCUCCUAAUUGGCCUUUGUCCCAUAUUUAUCUCCCAUCCUGUAGCCAAACUGAGGUCUCGAAAGUGCCUACCUGUGUACAAUCCCCUAGCGUUCCCUAUUACCCUCAGUCCCAUGUUUCUUAUCUAACAUAUAUGGUCGUCCAUGAUCUGACCCAUCUCCCUUUGCGGACUUGGUUUCCUUCCAAUCCCAUCUUGAACUUCACCUUCUAGAAACACUGAAAUGCUGUUAUCCCGGUUUGCCUUUGCUCAUGAAGUUCAUUUUUCUUGGAGGUCCAUUUCUUUCUCUUUUCCUUGGCUUUCCUUCUCUGUGACUGGAUAUCUCCUCCAGGAGUCCUCCACAAUGGCCUCCUCUCCUGACAUUAAUGGCCUUUCUUUUGCACUUUCUUAGCAGUACCUGUGUUUGGUUCCAUCACUGCCAUAACCACAAUUACUGAUCCCUUGGCCCAUCUAUCUCCUUGGUGACAUUGUAAAUUCCUUGAGAGUACAUACAUGCCUUUUCCACAUUUGUAACCACAGUGACUGUGACUCACUCAGUGCAUAAUGCAGAGUAUUUUGAACUAAAUUCAGGAGAAGAUCCUUUUUCUAACAAUACUAAUGGAAUUUCUGAACUGCCUUUGGUUAUUAGGUUCACUUCGUUUUACAGAAACAGUUUCUAUAGAACACGUUUUAUAGAAAUUGUGAUCAAAGUUUCACCAUAUGCCUUUCUUCUUUCUCUGAGAUUCAGUUACCAUCUCUCUGUAAAAUGGGCGUGAACAUCACUCAUAACCAGAUUGUGAAAGAUUCUGGAGGUCGGAGCCAUCAUUAUCCAGUGCAAUGAUGUUGCCUGAGACGGGGAAGAAGAAGAGGUUUAAUGGACUUGUAGUUCCACGUGACUGGGGAGGCCUCACAAUCAUGGCGGAAGGCAAGGAGGAGCAGGUCACAUCUUACAUGGAUGGUGGCAGGCAAAGA